rnacentral:pre_miRNA from 1 species
AGCCCUCUGUAUCCGUGCUGAGAUUUCGUCAGAGAUCAACCCAUUGGCCCUGGCUGAUGCAACUUUCCAAAUAAAUGGAGCG